GGGGAGAAAAGGAGGCCUGGGCAGCCCAGCCCCACUGUGGGCUCAGGGGCUGUGAGCACCAUGGCCUGGACCCCUCUCCUCCUCGUACUCCUCUCUCACUGCACAGGUUCCCUCUCCCAGUCUGUGCUGACUCAGCCGCCCUCUGUGUCUGCAUCUCCUGGAGCCACUGCCAGACUCACCUGCACCCUCAGCAGAGACCUCAGUGUUGGUAGUAAAUACAUGUACUGGUACCAGCAGAAGCCAGGGAGCGCUCCCAGGUAUUUUCUGUACUACUACUCAGACUCGAACAACAAGUUGGGACCUGGGGUCCCCAGUCGAGUCUCUGGAUCCAAAGACACCUCAGCCAACGCAGCACAUUUGGUCAUCUCGGGGCUGCAGCCUGAGGACGAGGCCGACUAUUACUGUGCUGCAUGGGACAGCAGUGAUACUUACACGGUGCUCCAGAGUCAUGGGGAAGUGAGACAGAAACCUCCCUGUGCUCUUUCUGCCUGUGGUUGUCACUGCUUAUCUGCCUGGGACCAAGUCGAACUCAGGUGGCAUUUGUUGUCACUUUUCAGUGAGCAACUCUUUUCCUAAUACCCAUGUCUGCACAACUAUUUUCCUAUUGUCCGUAGUUAAAAAUUUUAUUUUUCCAUUGUUAAUAUCUUUUCAGCCUGCUCAUGUCUACACAGGCCUAAGUUAGGUCUCAGGGCUGCGUAAUCCUACAGGGGCAUGAUAGACAAGGAAGGAGGGGGUUGAACUCACCUGUGCUCACCAGGUAUGGGCCUUAAUCAAAGGCGUGUGUGGGCUGCAGGCUUCUGGUGCAUCAUGGGGUUGAGCGUGUCCCAGGUGCACCUCCCGGGACACUGCUGCCCCCAUGAGAGAGUGAGUUCCCAUUCCGUCUGCCUGCGCCCACUGCGGCCUGUUUCUGGGACCGCGUCUCUCCUCCUGGGUCUCAGGGGAAGCAGGUUUCUCCAGCUCCAGAGAUUCUGAGCUAACAGAGUGUCAUCCACACUGGAAUAUGAUUGUGUGUGACCUCUCUGUGCUCACCAGGACAUCAGCCAAAGGCUGCCUCAGGUCCUGCCC